GUCGGGAUAGCUCAGUUGGUAGAGCAGAGGACUGAAAUUCUCG
rnacentral:tRNA from 1 species